GAUGAACGCUGACAGAAUGCUUAACACAUGCAAGUCGAUGGGGAAGUGGUGCUUGCACCAUGGUAACCAUGGCGGACGGGUGAGUAACGCGUAAGGAACUUGCCUGCGGGACUGGGAUAACAGCAGGAAACUGCUGAUAAUACCGGAUAAGGUCAUUAAGCUGCAUAGCUUAGUGAUGAAAGGAGACGCCUGCGGAGAGCCUUGCGUCCUAUUAGCUAGUUGGAGGGGUAACGGCCCACCAAGGCGAAGAUAGGUAGCCGGCCUGAGAGGGUGGACGGCCACAAGGGAACUGAGAUACGGCCCUUACUCCUACGGGAGGCAGCAGUGGGGAAUAUUGGACAAUGGGGGCAACCCUGAUCCAGCAAUUCUGUGUGCACGAAGACGGUUUUCGGAUUGUAAAGUGCUUUCAGCAGGGAAGAAGGAAGUGACGGUACCUGCAGAAGAAGCGACGGCUAAAUACGUG
rnacentral:rRNA from 1 species